rnacentral:rRNA from 1 species
GACGAACGCUGGCGGCGUGCCUAAUACAUGCAAGUAGAACGCACAGUUUAUACCGUAGCUUGCUACACCAUAGACUGUGAGUUGCGAACGGGUGAAUAACGCGUAGGUAACCUGCCUGGUAGCGGGGGAUAACUAUUGGAAACGAUAGCUAAUACCGCAUAAUAUUAAUUAUUGCAUGAUAAUUAAUUGAAAGGUGCAAUUGCACCACUACCAGAUGGACCUGCGUUGUAUUAGCUAGUAGGUGAGGUAACGGCUCACCUAGGCGACGAUACAUAGCCGACCUGAGAGGGUGAUCGGCCACACUGGGACUGAGACACGGCCCAGACUCCUACGGGAGGCAGCAGUAGGGAAUCUUCGGCAAUGGACGAAAGUCUGACCGAGCAACGCCGCGUGAGUGAAGAAGGUUUUCGGAUCGUAAAGCUCUGUUGUAAGAGAAGAACGGGUGUGAGAGUGGAAAGUUCACACUGUGACGGUAUCUUACCAGAAAGGGACGGCUAACUACGUG